ACGUAAUAGAUACCCGGGUAGUCCACGCCCUAAACGAUGUCUACUAGUUGUUGGUGGAGUAAAAUCCAUGAGUAAACGCAGCUAAACGCGUGAAGUAGACCGCCUGGGGAGUACGGUCGCAAGAUUAAAACUCAAAUGAAUUGACGGGGGCCCGCACAAGCGGUGGAUUAUGUGGAUUAAAUUCGAUGCAACGCGAAAAACCUUACCUGGCCUUGACAUGUAACGAACUUUCCAGAGAUGGAUUGGUGCUCGAAAGAGAACGUUAACACAGGUGCUGCAUGGCUGUCGUCAGCUCGUGUCGUGAGAUGUUGGGUUAAGUCCCGCAACGAGCGCAACCCUUGCCAUUAAUUGCCAUCAUUUAGUUGGGCACUUUAAUGGGACUGCCGGUGACAAACCGGAGGAAGGUGGGGAUGACGUCAAGUCCUCAUGGCCCUUAUGGCCAGGGCUUCACACGUAAUACAAUGGUCGGUACAGAGGGUUGCCAACCCGCGAGGGGAGCC
rnacentral:rRNA from 1 species